rnacentral:rRNA from 1 species
GACGAACGCUGGCGGCGUGCCUAAUACAUGCAAGUAGAACGCUGAAGGAGGAGCUUGCUUCUCUGGAUGAGUUGCGAACGGGUGAGUAACGCGUAGGUAACCUGCCUGGUAGCGGGGGAUAACUAUUGGAAACGAUAGCUAAUACCGCAUAAUAGUAGAUGUUGCAUGACAUUUGCUUAAAAGGUGCAAUUGCAUCACUACCAGAUGGACCUGCGUUGUAUUAGCUAGUUGGUGGGGUAACGGCUCACCAAGGCGACGAUACAUAGCCGACCUGAGAGGGUGAUCGGCCACACUGGGACUGAGACACGGCCCAGACUCCUACGGGAGGCAGCAGUAGGGAAUCUUCGGCAAUGGACGGAAGUCUGACCGAGCAACGCCGCGUGAGUGAAGAAGGUUUUCGGAUCGUAAAGCUCUGUUGUAAGAGAAGAACGAGUGUGAGAGUGGAAAGUUCACACAGUGACGGUAUCUUACCAGAAAGGGACGGCUAACUACGUG